rnacentral:rRNA from 2 species
UACGUAGGUGGCAAGCGUUGUCCGGAUUUAUUGGGUUUAAAGGGUGCGUAGGCGGUCUUAUAAGUCAGUGCUGAAAUAUCCCGGCUUAACCGGGAGGGUGGCAUUGAUACUGUAGGACUUGAGUAGAGUUGAGGUUGGCGGAAUUGACGGUGUAGCGGUGAAAUGCUUAGAUAUCGUCAAGAACACCGAUAGUGAAGACAGCUAACUAAGCUCUAACUGACGCUGAGGCACGAAAGUGUGGGGAUCAAACAGG